rnacentral:tRNA from 3 species
GCCCCGUUCGUCUAGCGGCCCAGGACACCGCCCUCUCACGGCGGCAGCACCGGUUCAAAUCCGGUACGGGGUAC